CCACAAGGGAUGAGGGUCCCAACAGGAUAGGGUAUUAUUGGCUAUGGUCCAUGUCCUUCUGAUAGAGGAGUCCCACCCACACCCUGCCCCCAAUCUUCACCACCUAUAUUGUAUCCUUACUACUUGGGAGAUUCUCUCCACAGGAUUAUUGUGCUCUACCAUAGUUCAGUUUUGGCUAUGGGCCUCAGCCCCCACUCUCUGAUCAGUCUGCCCCUCUAGGCAUUCCUCCUCCACCUGCCACCCCAGAGGCUGCCCAGAUGACUUUCCAACCCCUUCCAUGUUGGGCUACUUCAGACAUGAACGA
rnacentral:lncRNA from 1 species